CUUCAAUGCGGGCUACAGCCGUGAGAAAAAUCACUGACCCGCUGGGGGAAAGCGCGGCUCUUUUCCUGACAUGCUCUUUCUGUCCCAAACUCGGAAGACCGGGGCCAUUAUUGCGUCAAAUGCGAUGAUCGGAUGCCUGAACAUUCUUUGUUUCCCAACAAAGGCGUGAUGAGGUCAGGACAGGGGGGACAUGCAGGCGAGGGCUGGGAAAACAGAGGGGGAGGAGAGAGGACAGCCAAUGAUGACGUCAUGCAAGAAAGCAAUCAGACUUCAAGUGUGUGUGCACAUGUGUUACUUCUGGAGACAUUAAUCUGUUGAUAUAGUCUUAUACCUCCUGGGGACACCUCCAUUACAAUUGGUGAACCUCUGCCCAUCUUCAGCUCUGAGAAACUGCCUCUUUAAGAUGUUCUUUUUAUAUCCAAUCAUGUUACUGACCUGCUGCCAGUUAAUCUAAUUAGUUGAAAAAUGUUCCUCAAACUGUUUCUUUUUAAUAUCACUUACUUUUCCAGCCUUUUUGUUGCACUGAUCACAACUUUUUGAGAGAUGUUGCUGCUAUUAAACUCUAAAUGAGCUCAAAUUUUCACAAAAAAGUCAAAUGUCUUUAUAAUUUAAACAUUUAUAUGUUUUCUGUUCUACUGUGAAUAAAAUGUGGGUUUAUGAGAUUUGCAAAUCAUUGUAUUCUGUUUUCAUUCAUAGCAUAUUUAAAAGUAUUUGAAAAAUAUAUGCUUAAUUUAAUUCAGUACCAGCAACAUAUUUCAAAAAAGCUGUGUGCUGUGACAUCAGAGCUUAGGAAGAGAGCCUUGUUUUCAGUGCACAGUUCUAAGGUUACAUCUGUGAUCAUUUCAGUGUGCAUUGCUGCAAACAGCAUGGGUAACUUGCUCAUUUGCGAAAGGACCAUUAAAUAAUAAUACUAAACAAUUCAAAUAGGUGUUGGAGCAACAUAUGCUGCUUCUCAAGGAACAUUGUUUUUUCGAGGAAAGCCUUGCUUAUUUGAGCAUGACAGCACCAAACUACAUACAUUUAGCAUGUCGUAAAAGAGUCAGCGAGCUAAGGUGGCAUCCAGACCAGACCAAUCACAAAAGGAACACAUCAGGGAGGAUAAAACAUUCUGACUAAGAACUCUGACAAAGGAGGGCUCAAACUGUUGUUUAGGUAAACUGCUACAUCAAGCAAAGAAUGUUAAAAAAUGCUAAAAUUAGAGGUCAUGCAAGACAAAAGAGCAGGGUUUAAAAUGGGUGUAGUGUCCUGAAAUGUGUAUGAAUUGGAAUAAUAAUUGACUUUUAGUUAAUUGCUGUUGCAACAAAAGCAGCAUGAUGUGCAUAACCAUGAUCAAGUCAUUUCCACUGGUUAAUCAACUAACUUCAUGCUAUCUGUUUGUCUCUGGUGCCCUCUAGGGGCAGUGUUUUUGUCUCCUUCUUAUACUUCCUAUAUCCUAAAAGGACAUGUCUUGAAAGCAGAUAAGAAAUAAAAAAGAAAAAAAAAUCUGCAAAUUUUGCACAGUGUUAAUCUCAAGUACAUGCUCUCAUCAAAACCAAAGAUGCACUAAAAUAAGUGGAUUCGUGUUUCUGCUCACUUUAUGAAGCUCACUGUAAUUUUUAUUGGAAAAUUUUACAAUAUAAUUUCGAAAAAUGCAAACUAGCUAAUAUAUUCAUGAGCUCUCGCAGACGUUUGCACCUCAUUAGUAUUUCUAAAAGUAUAUCAGUGUUCCAUUAUGUACUGCUGAUAGCACCGAUUUAGAAACCAACCAUCUACUCGUACAUUAUCAGCUACUAUGGCUGCUUAUAUUACAUUAUCCAUCACAACAUGGUUUUCAGUUGUAGCACUAAAGUGCACUUAUUAGAGUGAGACUUCAAUCUCCAUGGCGAUCAGCUAGUCUUUUCUAUAUAACUGCAUGUUUUUCAGGUUAAAGAAAGAAACCUUUAUGUGAGCUGUCCAUUCAAAGUGUCCUUGGAUUUUGAAAUAGUUUGAUGGAGGGAAUAAAAGGCUUUGUAUCAUGUUCUGACUACUGCAUUGGACACACAAAUGAUUUGGUGUGCUCCAGUGGUACACCUUCUCUCUAAAACAUCAGCAUAUCCCUCCUCCAGAAAUACAAAUUUGAUUUAUGUUAGUGUACAGUGGAAAAAUAACAUGACACGCCGCCGGUUCUGCAGACUUUUCGCCAGGCUCUGUGAUUCAUAAAGCAAAGAGUUGCUCUGUUUCAAGCUUCAACACUUGGAAAAAGUCGUGAGCAAUUCAGAAAAUAAAGGGGCUUCCAGAAUAUGCAAUCACAGUUCAGGAAUAAUAAAAUCCGUCAUACACAGAUUUAUGUCAGGCGGUGCAGGGAUGUGUUGUUAAGUGGGAUUUGUUAUGAAAACACUGUGGAACUGUUAAAUAACAGAUAUAAAUACAUAUACGGCAAAUGGCUAAUGUCUCCGUGACAGCAUUUCAGGAAAAGAGGAUAAGAGGAUAAACAAAAUUAAUUUGCGCUCGCACGUCACACCUCCAAUGUCCAUGAUAUGGGCAAUUAUCUGUACUCUGUCUACCAAACAUUUACCCAGAAUUAGACAGGAAACACCUGCAGGUCAAGUGCUAAAAAUAGAAGCGUGCCAGAACAGAUCAGAGUGUUUCGUGCCCCCCAUCACACACACACACACACACACACACACACACAC